UUUACUCCUCGCUAAAUUUAGCAAGGUGGAUUCUGCCAAUGUCAAGGUGUAGACUUUUGACUUAUGAGACGAGAAUGUUCGGUUUAAUUUUGAUUUUUGUGGAAGGAUAGACUGGGAACCUAAAACAAACAAAUUAUUAUGUACAUCACAGACAAAUACAUGACAUGACACAAUUAACAUAGUACCAACAUUAGUGAAAAAGAGCGGAAAGCGGAUGACAGAUUGUUAAGGCAAGCAACAUAGCGGAUGAAAUGGAGGAAAAAACGUAGAGAUUAAAUUAUAUAGAUAGAUAGAAAAUAAUAGUAAGACGAGCAGUAAGAAUUAAAGUUUUAUAUUAUGUUCCUGUACAUACUUAAUAAGGAUAGAAGUUAGGGGCGGGUCCAUUAGAGUGAGAACUUCCAAGAUGGCAACAGCCUCGCCUGUAAAAAUGGAUGAUUGAGGAGGGCACUUAAACAUCAAGACAAUGCUAUAUUUUGGAACCACCACUGCUGCUCCAACACAAUUUGCGGAAUUAUUUUUUGAUGCGUCAGUAAACACCGUGACCAAUGAAGCAAGAGCCCGCAAGCGUGUAAUCAGCAAGUGAUUGGAGUUGGAGAUAGCUCUUAUGAGGAACCUGUCAGCAAGAUAUUGUCUACGCAGCGCCAGAGGAGGCUCCACACAUUCUACUUGCAUGGCAUUUUUUGGGGAAGAUCUCAUGGCACCAAGUAUGAUUCUUAAGCAUUUAGCCUGUAUUAAAUCCAACUUUUUUAAGGAUUCCUUAUUACAUGGUUCUAAUAUAAAGGAUCCAUAGUCCAUGUGGCUGCGGAUAAUAGCAUUAUAAAGUAGCUUUUGACAAUAUGGAUGAGAACCCCACCAAACUCCUGAUAGAGCCCGCAAAAUGUUGAUUCCUUUUUCACACUUGUCCUGUAUGUAUUUCAGAUGAGGUAUUCCACUCAUUUUCCGAUCCAAGAUGAUACCCAGGAAUUUGGUUGAUUCGUUAUUAGGAAUGCUUUCUUCACCAUAAUGAACAUCUGCAGUUGGCAUGUUCCUUUUGCGACUGAAGAUCACAGCACAGCUCUUGGAAGGUGACAAAGACAGACCAUGCUCUUCAAGCCAAUCCUUCAGAAGAGGUUCAGGAGCCGGGGAUGGAAGAACAGAUGAGGGCUUGGAAAUAACAAUGGGAAAGUGAUCGCUGCCAUAGGACUGACGAAGCACAGUCCAAGAUAACAAUGAGGCCAAAUUAGGGGAGCAAGCUGACAAGUCGGGAACGGAUUGUGGGUUCUGGCCUGGAUAGACUCGAUGUGUGGGCGAUCCGUCGUUUAUAACGCAAACAUUGAUUUCAUCGAAGAUUUCUAACAAGAGUGACGAAAACCCGUCCGAAUGGUAUGAUCCCCAAGAAAUGUUAUGUGAAUUAAAAUCGCCUAAAACUAUAUGAGGAGGAGGGACAGAGGUUAGGAUAGAAGAUAAUUCAGGAAUAAGGUCAAGGUCAGGGUGAGGAAUAUAUAUUGAAAUGAAAUUAAUGCCCAUAACCUUAGCGGCUACGGCAUUAAUUUCAUUUCCAUGAGGAGGGAGGGGAAUUUGAGAGAAGGGGUAGGAUUGCUUGAUCAACAGAGCGCAUCCUGCACG